AUCUAUGAUUCAAAGUUAAAGAACGUUGAUGAUAGAAAAAAGCUAUUGAUGGACUUGGCAGAUGGAAAUAUCGACAUAGAAGAGUUUCGGAAAAUAACAAAAGGAUCAGGAUAAUAAAAAAGCUUCAGCAGCAUUUUUUUUUCAAAUUGAUACAUAUAUUCCCAAUUUUAUGUUAUAUGUCAUAAAAUAUACUCUGCUUCUAUUAUAGAAUACAGCGUGUACAAAAGAAAAAUAUCAGCAACGACAGUAAAAAGAAAACAAAAGAAUCCGAAAUGAAGGGAAAUGAAGACCAGUUACAGACAGGAGAAUUGGUGGAACAAGAGGAAGACGAUUUGGAACAAAACGAAGAACCUAGCCUAAACAGAACUGCCGAGCUGAUGAAAGAAACAAAUGAUCUUAAAGAACAACUCAAGCAAACUCUUGCCGUAAAAGAAAACAAAUCAAUGGAGGAGAAGCUCAAACUCAGACAAAUUUGUUAUUAGAGUGGUACCUUCAACAUUGAAUGUGUGUUAGUAAAAUUUACCAACCUGUUGAAUACACGCCUUCCAGAUGCUCCCGCGAAGUAACAGAAGCCCUAACACUUGGCAUUAGAGAUCCCUUCAUCUCAGUGAUAGCAGACACUCAAAAGUUAAUUUAGAACCGUGGCUGCUGAUGUCUCAUUAUAGACCAGACAAAACACGAAGACAUGAGAUAGGAUGUGAAGGAAACAGAGCAAGUCACAGACAAAAUUAACGACCCCCUUUUCAUAAACAUGACGGAGUUUGAUGAGAACAUCAAAGCCAAGCGCAUAAUAACCUUGAAUCUACCUGUCCAGGUUUGAUGCGUUAUCCUACAAAAUGUGAAAUUGCAAAUAUUGCAAUUUGACAUGACUUUUAUGAUAAAUUUGUCGAUCGUAGUGAUUUUGAAUAUUGUGAAAUGGAUACGGACAGUCCUUACACGGCUUUUUCAAGCAACAGCCUCGAAGAAAUUGUCAUACACUUAUUAAUGGAUAUUAAUCACGGACUUUAUAAUUUCUGUGCCGAUGUCGACAUAGAAGAAGACAAUUUUACUCAUUGGCUUCAAUGUUGUGAUAAAAACAACCUGUACGACACAAAAACGCCUGAAGUUUUCAAAACACAGUUUUUUUAGCCACGAAAUGACAAGUAUGUUCUAAGACAUAUGUAAUUAACAAAACAACUCCAGUAAAUGUAAGAAUGGAGAUGAAAGCCUACCAGCUCUUGCGGAAAGCAAGAGGUAAUCCCCAAAGCAACGACCAAGAACUAUUCGCAACGCAAAAUCAUUUGCAAAGAUAUAUAGGAGUCUGAUUCACGCAUCGCUUCCAUUUUCAGACGUGUCAUGAAAACCUAGAAUUCAGCUAAUGGAUUUAACGAAGAGUUUCUGGCAAAACACAAUUCUGUAUUAACAUACAAACAAUACCUUGUUGUAAUGUAUACUUUUAUUGUAAACGAAAAGUCUUAGAUAACAGCAUUGACAUUUAAGUGUUAAACCUCGAGUUGUGUUCGCAAAACGAGAAUUUUUGAAUGAGAAAAUGUCUUAAACCCUAUGGGAAUGAUAAAUGAGUUAAAUUUACUGAACAUUUACAUUUUGUUGUUUCUUUAUGCUUACAAUGCACUUUAUAACUUUACGAGGUUUAAUGUUUGUUAUAACAAUUUAUAAUCUCUUAAUAAUUAUACUCUUUGGAGUUAAAGGUUCUUCUAUAUGUAAUACUGUCAAAAUCAAACAAGAGGGGAAUUAACAUUCAAUAUUGUGCGAGCUCCCUUAACGGUAUUAAUUAGUCUUAACUUCAUUACAAGUUUAAAAACCUCUGAGGGAAAAAUAUAUUGCUCAUUAUUAAAACGUAUAAUCAAGAACAGAUUAAUACAUCAAUGUAUUAAAGAAGGGAAGAUGCGAGACUUAUCAAAGUUUAUAUUAUGGAGUAAGAAAUAUAAUCUGAUGGGUUAUAUUCUGAUCGUAAACAAAAGAUUUCUUUUAUCAAUGGAAGAAAAUAAUUCGUGGUAACUUUAUUCGUUUGUAACUUUAUAUUCUUAUAGUUAAAAUGAGAUUUAAACAAAAUCAUUUUGUCUUCAAGGAACCGAAACGGCAAGUUUAGUUUAAGUAAUAUGUAUCGUCGAAGAAGGAGACCUGCACAUCCUUGCGGCAGAUAAUUUAAGAUUGUAAAUGUUGAAGCUAGUCCUGUCGCAAAUUUGCUUAAUACUUCGAUUGUUUCAAAUUUAUUACGAACAUUUCAUUGUGUAUAUAUAGAAUGUAUUAGAGAGUAUACCUGCGUAAUGUUCUACAAAUACAUGUAUCUUUAUUUUGUUAUCCACAACAUUUAAAAGUUAAACAUAAUUACAAAUUGUUUUACAUGCACAAAUGUAUACAUAUUUGCGAAUGUGUGUAAAUGUAUCGUAAAUUUUUCUCCAUGCAAUUAAAAACUUAGAAUAGUAAGAAAUAUAAAAACAAAUUGUUUAUUCAAUAUAUUUACCUAAUACAAAUAUAAUAUAUCCUAUCUGACACCCCAGGUGAAGACAUAUUUAGAGGGUCUCUAUGGAGAUAUUACCUCGCAAUCAGCUAUAUUUGUUUCUGAAAAUAGUGGGGUAAAUUGUACAAUCCGUUAGUCUAAAGAAAGUGAUUCUCUAAUAACUGCUUUCAUGCUUUGCACAAUGAACUGUUUUAAGGAAGCAAUCAUUGCGACUUUGCCUAAGCUAGCUGCUCAAAAUUCCCAUAGACUCCUUCACCUGUGGAAAACAGCCGAGACGUGGAAUAAGGUUGUCCUACUUCACCAACAGGAGAGACCUAGUUGCACUGGACUUCUGUCCCCGGACUUGGCGUCCGAAGAGAGGGGGUUUGGAAGCAGAAUGAGGCUCCGCGGCACCAAGUGUAGCUACUCGCCUAGGUUACAACCUAUAUAAGGAGGUAAAGGUAUACACCAAAUACCUUGGUAGAAAGGCAGCUAAAACUAAUUAUGGUCUGCAAGUUGGGCUCAGUCAAACUCAUGUGGGUAUUGAUGGAAUGCGGAAAAUUCUUCUCUAUACUAAUACUCCUCCUUCUGUUCAUAGGCUCCUACAUAAAGCAUAUAAUAAAGUUUUUGGCCUCGAUUCAAAACCUCAACGAAACUGACAGGAGUGACAGGUAUCACCGGCUGGAAGAGGGGAACACUCUUUGGGGAAAUGAGUUCCCACUUACUAUCCCUGUACAAUGUGAUGUCAUGUAGAAUAACCCGUUUACUCGGGGUGAGUGAGAUACCCUCUCAGCCGGCGAUACAAACUGUGUACUCAUUUAUUGCGAAUGUCACCUUAAAACGCCAGAUCAUUAAAAUAGUGACUAAAAGUAAGAUAUGCUCUAAACAUGGUCAAUUAAUUAACGAGGGCUCUCGUGACAAAUUCAAUCCCGGGGUAUGGAGGCGAACCUCCCGAUGCAUCACACAAAAGAGAGUGAGUUUACGUGGCUAUUGGGAGGGGGGCUUAUGACAGAUUUCUUUCUUCUGUGAGGAUGUCCUAGAGAUGUGGGAAGUCAUCAACGGUCUAGACAGCUCCACUGGUCGUGUUGCAGUCUCUCUCUACAAGGAUGGUCUGCUAGAAAAUAAGCCAUGUCACUAUAUUGACACUCCAGACCUGUCUGAGAGCAUAAGAAAAGCAAAUGCAAAAGAGACCAGAACCUAUUGAGAUCACGCCAAAAAGAACUAAAGCAGAGAAAACCAAACUUUUGCAUAACUUUGCCCUUGAUGCUGUUGACAGGUGUACAGCUGAAACUAGAAAUGUAAACUCAUAUUGGCUACUGCUCGGGAAUCCAGUGACCGUUAACUUUUUUAAAUAUUUGCCAAAUUAUAAUGAGCUACCUACGAGACUCUAUAGUUAUAUUAUGCCCAUUACUUUAAUACAUGUAUGUAAUGAAAAUUGUUAUAUUUACUAAUGUGUAUAUAAAGGUGGUGUCAAAUUUUAGUGAAACAAGAAGUAAACCCAAAGUAAACCCAGAAAGAUAACUCGGGGUUUAGUUGGGGUUUGCUCUGGUGUUAGGUUGGUUCUGAUCGGCACUGUUCAAUUCUGAUGAGCUUAUUGCUAUAAGUUGAAAUUAAAAAUAAGUAUGUGCCUUGUCCGCAUCUUCGCUAGCCAAGGGUUUUCGGUCCACUUUGCUCCCCAUAAAUCCUUGGCGGAUUUCAUUACGAAAACUCAGUGACAAGCUCCGUUUUAUGAUUGGCUGCAGCUGCGAGUAGCUGAUCCAAUCGCAGUGCUUGUAAAUAUAAACUAAGAAAGAAAACACAUGUGUGAUCUUUGGUAAAACAUUCGGUGCUUUUAACAAGUUGAGACACAAGUUCUCGAGUACAGUACCUCUCCAACGAUGGUCUAACCAGAUCGCUUUAAAAACCAAUACACAUGUAUAUUUUACUGGGAUUGACCAUAGUUCUACAAACUUGUCAAGGCUCGCGUGAUAGCAUGGGAAGUAAACAUGGCGAAUGUAGAACUGAGUUGCCUAUCCUGUUAGUAUAUACGUUCCUGCUUAUGGUUAUUGCUUUUUAAGGUUCAGUGAGCUCUGUUUUAUUUAAUUUCUUUGGUCCGCAAUACUCACGACAACGAUACCUGAUUUUAUGGCAUGAAAGCUUUCAUCGGCGACUUUUUCACUCCCGGUACAGGUCCUUACAAAACACUAUAGGUAGCAAGGGACAGUUUCGAAUAAAGUACCCGUCAAUAUUUUUGUAAAAUUGAGAGUUGCUGUACUUGAAGGCUUAUGAGUGUUGCUAAAAUUCAUGAAAUGAUUUUUAAUGAAUAUCAUUAGUUAGAGGGGUGUCUCUUGUUGAAAUUGAUAUGCAAUAUGUAGGCCCCUUAUGUUAGGUACAUGAGAAUCAGAAGUAAAAUGCGAAACCUGCGGCUUUGACUGUUGUGCUGACUUUACACAGUGAAAUUGCUAGUUACAGACGGGAGGUAAAAUAACACGAAAAGUAGGUGGAUGGGACAUUGUACACUAUACACCGGUAAGUUUCUGACAUGUGAUAGUGCAGCAUGCACGCGGUACGGAAGGUCAACCCUCUGCAGGGAAUUAGCUGGGGGAGGUCUAAAAAGCUGAAAAAUCAUGAAAAAUUAGCAAAAUAUGAAAGGGUCAAAAUCUCAUAAAAACCAGUAUGUAGAGAAUUUUACAGGUUUUGAUUAGCAAUUUUCUUCAGAAAUUGGUGAUUGGCCUUAUAAAAGUGAAUUAAAGGUAUUUGUGCUGAAUGGGAACUGAGGAAACUGUAGUUACAGAGUUCCGAAGACAUGCAUCCCUUGGCUACAAUGAAUUGGAUCAAAAAAACUGUCCCCUGCCACCUUCAAGACUACAUGGUAUUUUCAUAUUUCUCCUUUAAGUGUAAUUUUGAGUGGAUUUUGUACCAUAAGUAAUACAUUUUGUGAAAAUGGAUGAUUUUCUUGGCUAUAGAUGUCAUGACAUCAUUUAUUAGCUAAAAUAUUCAAGGGGAGUAACUCCCUCUUAAAUGUGUAGAAUGACCACCACUAGAGUAAAUUGGCUUAGAGAGUAGGCAUUUCCUAUCCUGAUGACAAUUCAUAGGCUUAAGUUAAUUACUGAGAUAAGAAUAAAGACUUUAAAACAGUUUUUAUCAAUUAAAUCAUUAAAUUCAUGAAUUGGCAGCCAUUUUGCUGUCUGAUUUUAUGAAAUAACAUUAGUCCACCUGACUUAUAUCACCCAAUUUUUUUAAAACAGCAUAUUUUUAUUUCAAAUGAACUUUACAUGUAGACAAAUGCAGUUAUCAAAGUAUACCAUAUGUCAAAAAACUCAAGUUUUUGCUCCUUCCUAUCAAAAAAUGGUAUUUUAGAUGUAUUUACAGAAUUGAAAAAGCCACCCCCUCUUUCCAAUGGACUCCAUUACCAUUACAUGUAGGAUAUGUAACUGUACAUUUGACCUUGAAAUAACAUCUGCUAUGAUAAUUACUCUUGAAAUGAACAAAAAACAACAUAUGUUUACCCUUUUAUUGUAUAUAUGCAUCAAAAAUGUAGAAAAACAUGUAAAAUUUGAACCUUUUUCAUGGAAUUCUCAUCCGUCCCCAGGUACCCGGGUGUGUUUGAAUUUCAUUUUAAUUAAACGCACAUGUCACACUUGUAGGUCUUACUAAUUUAGCAAAGUUAAAAUGAGACUAGAAACCAGAAUAUAUAAGAUAUCCACUAAAUAUGAUUAUAGGCUUAGUUUUUCAUGAAAACAAGAAAUCACAUGUAGGGCGACAUGACUUUUUGUGAAUAAAAAUGCUACAAAUCAUCCAUUUACCAAAAAAGAUCAAUUUUAAAUAUCAGUGAUGGUUGUUUUCAAAUAUGUGUAAGAAAUGACUCAAGGAAACUGCCACAAGUUUCAUAAUAUUAGGUUAAAGUGUUCAAACUAAUGCUUCUUGUGAAAAUCAAAAGAUAGGGGGAGGGUAUACAUGUAAAGGGAUUUCUAAGUGAUGUGAUGCUUUUAUCAUGAUAAUAUCAAGCAGAUGCAUGUAGUAUUCAAUAAGGUUUCUUAUUUAAGGAGGUUGAACAACAGUUGACCUCUAAAAGAUUAGGUAAAGAUGCUUUAUUUAUGG